UAAUACGAAGGGGGCUAGCGUUGUUCGGAAUUACUGGGCGUAAAGCGCACGUAGGCGGGUUUGUAAGUAGGGGGUGAAAUCCCAGGGCUCAACCCUGGAACUGCCUUCUAGACUGCAAGCCUGGAGGUCAGGAGAGGCGAGUGGAAUACCGAGUGUAGAGGUGAAAUUCGUAGAUAUUCGGUGGAACACCAGUGGCGAAGGCGACUCGCUGGACUGAUACUGACGCUGAGGUGCGAAAGCGUGGGGAGCAAACAGG
rnacentral:rRNA from 1 species